GCAAAAGAUAGGAACGUUUAGUCCAAUUUGUACCACUGAGUAGUUUCUUUGUCUUCAAAGGCGGUAAAUCUUCAAAACCACUACUGGUUUCCGGCAAAGAGGACAAGGCUUCCCUUGCAACUUCAAAGAGCAUGCCAUUUAUCGGGUUUUGAAUCCUGACAUUCCCGUUGCCAUCCUUGUUGUAAAGAGAGCAACAAAAUGAGCUCAAAGUUGGGACGGAUAUAACUAUAUAAGCAGAAGACUUAAAGAGAUACCUCACCAACAACCGUAAGCCGUGUACCGAUAGGGAGAACAUACUCAAUGCCCCUUACUCCAAGCAUCUGAAGCCAACACAGAGAAGCUAAAGCAGACGAGAGAAAAAAAAAAAAAAAAAAAGAAAAAGGAAAGACACCUCGCGGCCUUGGAGAUAAUCAUCUACUGUUCCAGGAAGAUGCAAAGAAGAAGGCUCAUCAUGCUUUUCAAAUACUUCAAUUGCGACAGUCAAAGCUAAGCCUAAUUCGCUCUCAGAUCCCGACACAUUAACCCGGCCUCCUGUCCCAUCUUCCUAUAAAGAGCAUAAAUGAGAAUUUUUUUUUCUUAAGAGCAGAGUCAAAAGUGUUUAAAAAGUGAAAGGUGGUUUACCAGAAACCAAGGGACUUGCUUAGACGGUGAUGGAUUCAGUGUCUUGAACCCACCAUUAACAUUCCAAAAUCUCCGUCUCUGCUUGAAAAAUCAAAUUAUUUCUAUUAAUACAUGGAACGGAGGAAUCCAUCCAAAGAAGAAAGCAGAGCAUACAAUUUCACACUAUAAGCCUGAUGCAUUCGGAUGGUCCUGCUCCAGUAGCUGCAAGGAGAGUCUUACAGAUCAGGGCACGUGGCGGUGGCAUCAAAAAUGAGCUACAGUCUACUCUGAUUUGAAGACAUUGGGAUGGCAUUGUGAUGACCAUUGGAAGAGAAGGAGAGAAAUGAGUUUGGUGUGCGAUUUGAGAGAGAUGUAUAUUGUGACUUUUUGCUUAUAUAGAAGGAAAGGGCAAGGCUGUAAGUUUACGUCUUUUACCAAAACCUCAUGAUGAAUGCCAAUUACAAAAAAAAAACAAAAAAAAAAGCAUUAUUCGUGAGAAUAUUGGUGAAACCAUUUGUAGAGAGAUUUGAGAAAAUGACCCUUAUUUUGUCAAGUAGGUAUUUAAAUUGUUUUUUUCUAUUGGGUUAAAUACUUGUAAAAUUUGUAAAUGUCUUCUUAUUUCUUGCAA